rnacentral:rRNA from 1 species
GACGAACGCUGGCGGCGUGGAUUAGGCAUGCAAGUCGAACGGUAGGAUACUUUCGGGUAUCUGAGAGUGGCGAACGGGUGAGUAACACGUAGGUGAUCUACCCUCAAGAUUGGGACAACCCAGGGAAACUUGGGCUAAUACCGGAUGAAAGCAGCAGUGAUGUUGUUUGAAAGGUGGCGUAAGCUGCCGUUUGGGGAUGAGCCUGCGCUCUAUUAGUUAGUUGGCGGGGUAAAGGCCCACCAAGGCGAUGAUAGAUAGGCGGCCUUAACGGGUGGUCGCCCACACUGGGAUUGAGAUACGGCCCAGACUCCUACGGGAGGCAGCAGUCGAGAAUAGUCUACAAUGGCCGAAAGGCUGAUAGUGCGACGCCGCGUGAACGAAGAAGCCCUUCGGGUGUAAAGUUCUUUUAUAUGUGAGCAGUGCUUUUCAUGUUAACAGCAUGGGGAGAGAGAUAUUAGCAUAUGAAUAAGCAACGGCUAACUCCGUGCCAGCAGCCG